rnacentral:rRNA from 1 species
UACGGGGGGGGCAAGCGUUGUUCGGAAUUACUGGGCGUAAAGGGCUCGUAGGUGGCCAACUAAGUCAGACGUGAAAUCCCUCGGCUUAACCGGGGAACUGCGUCUGAUACUGGAUGGCUUGAGGUUGGGAGAGGGAUGCGGAAUUCCAGGUGUAGCGGUGAAAUGCGUAGAUAUCCGGAGGAACACCGGUGGCGAAGGCGGCAUCCUGGACCAAUUCUGACACUGAGGAGCGAAAGCCAGGGGAGCAAACGGG